CUUUCUUGUCAAAAAUGGAAGACAAUGGUUGCUUACCAAAUGCUGUGACUUAUGAAAUAAUCAUUCGUGCUCUGUUUGAAAAAGGUGAAAAUGAUAACGCAGAGAAACUUCUUCGUGAAAUGAUAUCUAGAGGCCUAUUGUAAGGAUAAAAGUAGUUAUACCUGAAGCAUAUUGUACCAAAGCAAUCAACUUGAUAAAAAAGGUUACUGAUUCAAACUUCAAAGCCAAAGGAUUUUGAUCAAACACUAGCCUCUUGCGCAAUCUCGAAGCACCCCAAAGACUAGCAAGAAACAUUUGCACAGGUUAAUGCUCAAAAAUGUUGGAAUACUCUAUCAUGAAGUGCAUGUUCCCAUAUAAUCAUGUUAAGAAAAAUAAUAAACCUAUAAACUUUACAAUUAAAAUGAGAAACUUUGGUGGUAUAUUCGGGCUUUUAAGUUCAAAUCUCAUUAAAGCUAAAAUAUUGUGUUAAGAAACAUUUAUGUGAUCAAAUCUGGUUUUAAUAAAACAAUUAUGGUAAUUUUAUAUGAUAGGAAUUGUUCAGUAGAGAGUAUUUUCAUUUGUUCGCUGAGCUAAACUUGUAGGUUGAUGGCUUGAUAACUUUCAUCUUUAUGCUGGCUCUACCAUAGAUCAAAUGAUUCAUUUGAAACGUUCUUGGAGUUAUCAUGAAAAACGUUGGUCCAUUUGUUUGUUGUUUUUCUUUUUCACAAAAAAAAAAUGACAUUAAAAAUUUUGAAAAAAUGGCAUUUAUCAUUGUCUUUUUGAGGUUUUUUUUUGAAGGUGGAAAUA